rnacentral:rRNA from 1 species
GAGCGCAACCCUUGUCCUUAGUUACCAGCACGUUAUGGUGGGCACUCUAAGGAGACUGCCGGUGACAAACCGGAGGAAGGUGGGGAUGACGUCAAGUCAUCAUGGCCCUUACGGCCUGGGCUACACACGUGCUACAAUGGUCGGUACAAAGGGUUGCCAAGCCGCGAGGUGGAGCUAAUCCCAUAAAACCGAUCGUAGUCCGGAUCGCAGUCUGCAACUCGACUGCGUGAAGUCGGAAUCGCUAGUAAUCGUGAAUCAGAAUGUCACGGUGAAUACGUUCCCGGGCCUU